UACGUAGGGUGCGAGCGUUAAUCGGAAUUACUGGGCGUAAAGCGUGCGCAGGCGGUUUUGUAAGCCAGAUGUGAAAUCCCCGGGCUCAACCUGGGAAUGGCAUUUGGGACUGCAAGGCUGGAGUGCGGCAGAGGAAACUGGAAUUCCUGGUGUAGCAGUGAAAUGCGUAGAUAUCAGGAGGAAUACCGAUGGCGAAGGCAGGUCUCUGGGCUGACACUGACGCUCAUGCACGAAAGCGUGGGGAGCAAACAGG
rnacentral:rRNA from 1 species